rnacentral:lncRNA from 1 species
UGGGUUAGGCCUCCCUGCCAUCUCAUUUUCCUGGCUCGUCGUCUCGUCUAUUUACCUUGGCUCCACCUUUGGCUCAGCUGGACACCACAGGCUUCACCAGAGUCAUUUGGAAUGCAAGCCCAUCACACCAAGUCUCCUAUUUCCCCAAGGCUCAGAGAGAAUUGGAACUGAACUCUGAGUGGCUAGUUGUUGGUUGUCCCCAGCCAAGUCUGCACAAAUGGAGAAAAUGCAUGUUUGCUGCAGUUCUGUAGCUUGGGUAACGGUCAGAGGAACUCUAAUGCCAGAACAAAUGAUGCUGCUAAACGGAAAGAGCAGGAGUCUUCUCUCUACAAAAUGCCUCACAAAGGAGACUUUCUUUGCUCCUCUUGGUACAUGUGGAUCAGUCAAAUGGAUGUAUCAGAUUAUGGCUGCAUCUACCCAGAGCCUGUUUUUAGUCUCAAACCAUACACUGAGUUCUUUCAAAUCUGCUAUACUUCCAUUUACAGGUAUACCUUUUUCUAUUACAGAUGGUGUAUUUUUUUGUUUGUUUGUUUUUUAUCAGUUGAAGGUUUGCAGCAACCUUGCAUUAAGCAAGUCGAUCAGUGCCAUUUUUCCAACAGUUUUCACUCACUUUGUGCCUCUGUGUCACACUUUGGUGGUUGUUAUUCGGUAA